rnacentral:rRNA from 1 species
GAAAGCCGUCGGCGCCUAAGGACGACUAUGCGGACCAUCAGGAUGUAGUGCAGGGUGAAGACCUGACUACCAUACGACGGAUCCGGAAUGUGAGAGCAAUAACCCGGAGAUGAUAUCUGAGACACGAUAUCAGGCCCUACGGGGCGCAGCAGGCGCGAAAACUUCGCAAUGUGCGAAAGCACGACGAGGGAAUCCCAAGUGCUGGCUCGUUAGAGUCAGCUGUUUCUAUGUCUAAAAAGCAUAGAGAGUAAGGGCUGGGUAAGACGGGUNGCCAGCCGCCGCGGUAA